CCCACCCCGUAGGUCUUCUUCCCCGCGUGAGGGGCGGGGCUGCGACUGCGCGCUCGCGGGCCGGGUGGCUUCCGCGGCGGCCGUUGGCCGUUAGCGCGGCUUGGGUGGUUGUCUUGGAGAAGCAAGAUGGCGGCGACUACCGCCGCGGUGGUGGCCGAGGAAGACACGGAGCUGCGCGACCUGCUGGUGCAGACGCUGGAGAACAGCGGCGUGCUGAACCGCAUCAAGGCUGAACUCAGAGCGGCUGUGUUUUUAGCACUAGAAGAACAAGAAAAAGUAGAGAACAAAACUCCAUUGGUCAAUGAGAACUUGAAAAAGUUUUUAAACACAAAAGAUGGUCGUUUAGUGGCUAGUCUCGUCGCAGAAUUUCUUCAGUUUUUUAAUCUUGACUUCACCUUGGCUGUUUUCCAUCCUGAAACUAGCACAAUUCAAGGUCUUGAAGGUCGAGAGAACUUGGCCCAGGAUUUAGGCAUCAUUGAAGCAGAAGGUACUGUGGGUGGACCCUUAUUAUUAGAAGUGAUUAGACGCUGUCAACAGAAAGAAAAAGGACCGGCCAGUGUGGAAGGUGCACUGGAUCUAUCCGAUGGACAUCCUCCAUCAAAGUCACCUGAAGGAAAAUCAAGUGCAAACUCCACCCCAAGUAAGAAGACUAGCAGUGAGACCAGUCAGAGUGAGCCAAGUGUCUCCUUGUCAGAGUCCAAGAGUAAAAGCAGCCUGCACUCACUGGCCCAUGAGACAAGAAUUGCAUCUUUCUUAAGCAGCAGCGCUGUAGAUGCCAGAGACAGCAGUGCCCUUUGUCCAGAUGGGGAUGAUGUGGAAGGAGAUUCUUUCUUUGAUGAUCCCAUUCCUAAACCAGAAAAAACCUAUGGUUGGAGAGCUGAACCUCGGAAGCAAGUGGGAGGUCUGGCCUCACUGUCUGACAAGCCCCACUUAAGGAGCGGUCUCAGCUCCCUGGCCGGAGCCCCAUCGCUAACAGAUCCAGAGAGUAAAAGGGGAAGCACCGUCCUGAAGGAUCUGAAAUUGGUUGGUGAGAAGAUUGGAUCACUUGGGCUAGGUAACUAGAUUUCAGUUUUAGUAUGAUUGUUGAGAUCGUCUUCCAGAAUAGAGUCUACAUAGAGACCCUUCCUGCUGCUGUUCAGCAGGAACUGGGGAACUGGCAUGUGUUGAGUUCAGCCCUACACUAGGGGAUAACUGUAGCAACAAGCUGGAUAGACCUUUGUUUUGUGGUAUUCAGACCAUAGUUGGGGAAUGCCCCUGGCUUGGGCUUUCAGGAAAGACCUUCAGAAGAGGCUGAUCUAGUCAGAGCUGUGUAACAGAAGGUUUUGGUUAAGAGUAGGUUAAAGGAUGUCUCUGGGUGUUGUGAGUACAAGAUCCAGACCACAGGGAGUCAGUGUAGUGCAAGGCUCAUACUUGUGAGAGGACAGCUGUGGGCUGCUGUGUUAUUUGAGCAGUGUAAGUAAGCAGAUUUCUGUGGGAGUUAGAGGAGCAGUGUGCACAGAACCGAGUUGUGGGACACAGGGACCUCAAGAGACCCUUACUUCUCACUGACCUGAAGGAAAUGGUACAGCCGGGGCACUUAGCCAUCUCCUGCCCUCUGCAGACUGAUGGGGUGCUAAGUUGCUCUGUUGUGAGAGCAUUGGACUCUGGGGGGUUUAGAACACUGCUUCUCGGGCAGGCUCGGGAGAAAGUACCAUAUACCCUGUUCAGUUUAUAACCUUGGGUAUGUCGUGGGGCAGCGCAGAGUAUCUCUCCUAUUUCUGGGCAACCACUCUAAAUAGUGCUCAGGUGAAAGAAGGAGAGAUUUAUGUGAAGAUUCCAGCUAUGACCCCAGCUUGGGGUAAGCAGUGCCUUUGUUUCUUCUCUGUUAAAUGGGAGCAGUAACAUGUACCCCAGUGUGAAAGCUGCACGGGAUGUCCAUGUGUAUAUGCACAGCAGCACACAGCCUGGUUCAGGGCCUCGCCUGCUGCUUUCCUUUGUGUGUCGGUUGUUUCCUUUGCAGAGUAGAUGUUUUCUGAGCUGCCUCACUUUUGUUCCUCACAGUGCCCUAGAGGCCUGCUGGGUAACUGCUGAGUGGCCAGUGCUGCCCUUCCUCGGGGUCUCCUGGUCCCCGCCUUGCUGGCUCUUCUUCCUCCCCAUUGGGUGUGGUCACAUCUGCACGGAGCUCUUUAUCCUAACACCUCAGAGCAUUUUUACCCCCUUCUUUGAUCAUGACACUUCAGGUGCUGCUCUGUCCCCUCCUUGUGACAUUGUGCUUCACCUUGUGGUGGUUCACCUGGUGCCAAGCUUUUGCUGGGCUCCCUCUUUGAUCAUCCUUGUUCUUUUAUUGAAGUGUGGUUCCCUGCUCUGCUGAAGACAGCUCUGACUGGGCUGGUGGAGCAAAUGAAAUGACAGUCACUGCUUCAUUUUCCCCUCCGCUGGCUUUGAAGUAUGUACACCUUGAGUUGAAAUGGGGUGUUGUACAGAGCGGCAUAGGAGGGCGGCAUCAGAUCCUAUAGAAAUAAGUAGUUGUUUAGUGACUGCAGCACUGUCAUUUGACCUAGGUUUCUGCUGUAAUGUGGAUGACAAGACUGCAUAUAGCUGUGGUACCUACACAGUUCAGGCACUGGAGAAGAUGAGGACUAUGCUGAUGAUUUUAAUAGUGCUAGCCAUCGCUCAGAAAAAAGUGAGCUAAGUAUUGGUGAAGAGAUUGAAGAAGACCUUUCCAUGGGAGUAGAGGACGGGAACACCAGUGAUAAACUCGAUGACCUCACACAAGACCUGACUGUUUCCCAGCUCAGUGAUGUUGCUGACUAUCUGGAAGAUGUUGCAUAGACAGGAAAAGGAAGUAUUCUGAGCAACAGAGGACAAACGAAUCACUGGCUCCAUUUUCCUCAGUCACUCUUGCUGGAAUGUCCGCUCCUGCUGGUGCCUUGCAUUUCAAAAAGACUGCAGAUAUUUUUAAAAUUAAACUUUUCGGUUUAGUAAACAUAUACUUCCUAUAUGAGCCAUUUCUAGGAGAUUCAUUCUUCUGAAUUUGGUUUAACUGCAUGGCUCCAAGGAAAUCAUCUGUAGUCAGGCUCACUAUAGCAAGGGAACCGUGAAAUAUCAGUGUUAAAGAGCAGAAAGAGGGUCAGUACAGCCAUGGUUUGUGCCACUAUGUGUCUGUGGCUGCUCCAGGGAGCUCGCCCACUUAGUGUGUAUCAGGCGGGUUAGCCCAGAGUUGGUGAACUGACCUGGUAAGUCCAUGGUGCUGAAGAGUAUCAGUACAAGGUAAAUUGAUCUAUGAACUUUAUUUUGUAUCUCCUUCCAUUUGGAAGGUUUGUUAGACCAUUACGGUUAUAUUCAAGUACUCUGUACUCUUAGUUUUGCUUGUUUUAAACUAGAAAUGAUUAGUACUCUUAAUUCAUAGACUUGUCAAUAACAGUUACCAGUUAAGGUCACGUUCUUCCUGCUGUCUGUAAGCAGCUAUAGUCACAGAUUACUUCAUUACAGUCGUAAUUUAUUAUUUUUAAAAAUGCCUUGAAACAUUCAAUACCAAAAUGCAUCUGAAACCAUUAAGCAGUGCUUUUAUUUCAGAUCUGUAAGUUGAUUAUAUUUAAAUCCAAAUUGGAGUGAAAUAGUAGUAAUGGCCUAAGACCAUGCAUAUUCAGUUUGACAAACUUUGUAUACUGUACAUAAUUGCAUUGUAGUUCUUUAAAAAUAAAGCCAAUAGUAGAAUUCGUGGCAGAUCUAAUGUACACUGUUUAUGUAGUACUGCAGCGAUAUAGGACAGUGGCGUCUGUAAUGUUAAAGUAUUGAAAAUGUACAGAUAGAAACUCAGCCCAGUGCAUGAGUCAUACCACUAAAAUUUGGGACUGUGUGAAACUUAGGUGCAUUUUAUUUCAAUUAUGACUAUUAAAAGCUACCUUUAUUAUUAAAAGAGAAAUUGGACAUCACUGAUCCAUGGUGAGUGAGUGAGUGAGCAGGUGCUGUGGUUUGUAUCAGUGCCACUUUCCAGUCCAUAGUGCGUAAGCACAUCGACGUUUAUCAGGCGUAAGUGUAGAGGAAGUGAAAAUAUAGUAAUAAAGACUCGGGCUCUCUGACAACAGAGUCUGGCUUUUUAAAACUUAAGUGAAACUGAGCUAUAAUCAUCAAGAGGAAGUAGGACAGAAACAGAGGUGUCCUGGAAGCCCUGGGUACUUAAGUUCUUAGUCUGCCCCAUGCUUGACUCUUCGGAUCAGCACUGGAUGAAGAUGCUGUCGUCGUCUUGUUAGAUAAUGCUGUGCCCUGUCAUCUCUUCAGUACUGUGGAAGAGCCUGGGGCUGCUGAGCAUCUGGAGUCUGGAUCAGAUGUGUGCCUUAAUAUUUGGUAGGCACUCCAGUUAGUGAACUGGCCUGCAAGCAUGGCAGGAUGUGGCUUUGUAUAUUUGAGGAAGACUUUCCAACAGUCAAAUGUGAAAUUUGAGACUUUCUAUUACCCAGUGACUGACCUUUUGGUAAGUCUUGAGAGGGUGGAAAGAAAAAGCAGGCUUCAACUUUGUGGUCAGCACUACAUGCAGGUAUUGAAUACUUCUAAAAAUGUGAAAUUCAACAGGGAAGAAGUGGUUUCUACAGUAUUCCUUGCUUAGAUAUUGUUAACCUGUUAAACCUUAAUGUGUGAAAUGAAUGACAGGUUCUGCAUGUAAUAAAUGUCUCUUUGAACAGUGGAUUAAAAUGUUGGCCGGCAGUAUCCUCCA